CAAAGCAGAGUACGGCCCUGUGUACUGGUUAUGUGUAUGUAGGCUACAAGAAGCACCUAUUAGUCAGUUUCAAUCCUGGGAUCUGUUGACAGAAAAGAGAGAAACAAACACAGUCAAGACUAGAUUCUGGUGGUAGGCUGCACAAGAAGGUUGGCCACGGUUGGAAGGGGUUUCAUGAGUUGUUUCAUCAUUUUUCUGUCCCAUCCCAGAAUUGUUAUUGUCGAUAAGGGAUAUAAGGAACAUAGAAUUUGGCUGCCCUGGUCCUCGACACGGCCUGAUGCUGCUUCACUGGCUAGCCAACAAUAUUCAAAUUGACAACAUGACACUCAAUUUCAACGCAUCCAGGAAAGACUAUGGCAUUCAUUUCUAUGGAAACGCUGAUAUCCCCAGUCCGUUACCUUCACUGUCCAGUCUCCAUGUAAGAUGAGAUUGGGCAGUGUGCAGUGUGAUGGCUAUUGCAUCAUCGGUGGACCUGUUGGGGCGGUAUGCAAACUUGGGGUCGGUGUUACGCACGCCUCUGUGAAGAGGGAACACAACAACCUGCUACAACUCAACCCUCUGUGAAGUGAAAGAGGUAUGGGACUGUAGGUGCGAGUAAGGAUGACAAAAGGCAGAGAAUUUACCGUUUACAAGGAAUUUAUUCCGUCAUACGAUAAUAUGGGGAAAAGGGGCUGGACGGAACCAAAGCCCCCUCUCCUAUCUUACCUGCCUACCCAAUAUUUAUCUAACUUAGCCCCACCUGGUGCGCUAACCAAAAUACAGGGGGUGGUCUGCCCAGGUCUUACCUAAUGUGCCUAGACAGUGAAUAUACUACGGGUAAAUGUAUGCCCGCGGGCCUCUUGCGUAAGCACUCCCUAGGUGCCUUCCCCUUCCCCCCUGGGAACAAAUGAAACAGAAUUAUCCAAAUGUAAGUAAACAAUUUCAAGAAUCAAAAACACAGUUCUAUUAGCACACACAUACCUCAAAUCAGCGGCUACAACAAUACUUAACAAAACCUGUCUCUGAGCCACAACCAAGACAGGACAUCAAAUCAGCUCUCUUGGUAAUUGGAGACAGCUGCGUCCUGACGAGAGGGGGGGUCAGCUCUCCAAUUAGCCAUGGAGUCGACCAAUCAGCUACUUGGGGGGGAUUUCAGGAAGCCAUUUUGAAACAGACACCUAACAAACCACAACACAGAAACUGGGUAACGUAACAGUCGGCAUGCAAACUUGGGGUCAGCAGGUAUUCUAGUGGUUAGAGUUUUGGACUAGUAACCGAAAGGUUGCAAGAUUGAAUCCCCGAGCUGACAAGGUACAACAUCUGUCGUUCUGCCCCUGAACA